AGUUGACAAAUGAAGGUGAAGAACCAAGGUCUCUUGCACAGAAUGGCUGCACAGUGGAAAGACUCGUCUCAUUUGACCAGAAGUUGGCUGACCUCACAUAUCUUGAACUAGGUAAUUCCUGAAAGAACCUUAGACAUUGUGGAUGGAAGCACACAUAACAUGGUGAUCAGCAGGAUGACAUGGCCUACCUAUAUGUGCCUCUGAAAAUUGCAUUCAUCUGAUGAAUGGAGUGCAAAGAAUGAAAGUGACAAUCAGCACGAGGAAUGUGAGUAGAUGGCUAUGAGGGUUAUGCUAAUAUUAUCACUUCAGGAUGUGAGGCUUCAGGAGGUCAUACAAAGAGUGAAGUAAGGAUUAUGAUUACAGUGAUGGUGGCCUGUGAAAACUGGAGUUGCAGUCAGGGAAGUGGAGAAGAUUCUAUCACUCUGGACUUGUGCCUUGCAGGUGGUGGAGAAGCUUUUGGGAAUUGGGUCCUGGAGAAUACGUUUCCAGCCCUGCAGUCAGGAUGUUGUCAGAAUCUAUAACCAUUGGUGUGCUCACUUAACCAUUUCUUAACAUCAUGUGGCAUGAACUGAAUUAGCUGAAGAUUGGCUGCUGUGAUGGUGGGGCUAUCAGAAGCCUGAAAAUGGUCAUCUACUCAGCAUUUCUGGGAGAAGAUUAAUGGGAAACUGUGAUGGUGGAAUUCUAAAAUCAGAACUCAUUAGAUAUGGAAUUAUUGUUGGAGUUACUUAUGUUUAAGAUUGGACUUAUUUCAGUUCAACAACAGAAACAUGUUCCGAUUGUGCUGGAAGCCGAAACCCGAAGAAUCAUCGACAAAUAUUGAGGGUUGAAAGACAACAUUAACUCAAGAGAGUAAUGGAAUCCAUUCACUUUAAUAAGGUGUUAACACAAGCCACUUGUGAAAAACCAAGACAAAGAGCAGGUCAAAUCGAAGAUACUAACACUUGGUGUCAGCACUGCGGAAACAAAAUGUCUCAAAAGCACAAGCUGUGUCCAGAUAUGACAAAAGAAUCAUAGAAUCCCUACAGUGUGGAAGCAGACCAUUCGCCCAUUGCAUCCAGACCAAUCAUCUGAACAGCAUCCCACUCAAACCCAUCCACGGCUAACCCAUCGAACCUACACAUCGCUGGACACUGAGCAAUUUAGCAUGGCCAAUCCUUUGGACUGUGGACUUUGGGCUAUGGGAAGAAACUGGAGCACCCAGAGGAAACCCACGCAGACAAGGAGAGAAAGUACCAGGGACGCAGGUUAGAUUCCACCCUUGGGUGAUCGUCAGUGUGGAGUUUGCACAGUGAAGCAGCAGUUUUAACUGCUGAGUCAUCAUGCCACCCCAUGUUAUAUCCUUAAAAUGAUAGGUCACUUCCAGAGGACAUGCAGAAAGGGGGCACAGUUUUAAAGCAGCAAAAAAUCAAAUGCUCGCUCUACAUAAAUAUGAAUCUGAUAGAGCCCUCAACAUGAUCAAAGAUAACCAAUGAGUUAUUUGAGGAAAUUGAUAAUCCAAACGAUUUAAGUUUGGCAAAAUCUGUUACUGUCAAUGAGGAACUAAUUAAUUUUAAGCUUGAUCCCAGGGUGCAUGUGCUAGUAUCAGAUUCAAUACCAUGGCUGAAAAAACAGGAGCCAUAAACCACAGAGAUUAAACUACGUAUCUCAAAACUAAAGGUGUGCUGUGACAAAGGCAAAGGCCC